GACCCAAAGAGGACCAUGUGAGUCUGAUGUGGCUGUGGAAGGCGGGGCUCACAGCAGGCUGCCGGGGCACCAUUAAUGGGGGAGGGUCCUGUCCCCAGCGCAUACGUAGACGGCCCUUCAGAACCUGCUCAGUGGUCAGUGCGGCCGUGCAGCUGCACCCCGGCCUGGUCACCUGUGCUGUGCCCAGCAAGGAAGAUGCCCCCGCUCAGCCCGUCCAUGCACCCUCCAGAGGCUGUCAGCUGCCUGAGACCCACACUGGCUCUUGCAGGCUAGAGGAGAGUUCAAUGGCCAUUCGGGCCCUGUCGCCAUGGAAACACCAACUUUGGGUACCAAAAGCCUGAAUGUACAAAUUCAUGGAGUAUGACCUGCCUGGUGCCAGUGGGUCUUUGCAUUUUUCUGGGGUGCCAGUGGGUCUUUGCGUUUUUCUGGGGUGCCAGUGGGUCUUUGCGUUUUUCUGAUGCCCUCUGAACUCUUAGGUCCCGGUUCUGGCGGAUUUGGCCCAGGCACCCCCAGCCCCCAGGUAGGAGGCACAACCCUGCUCCCAAUGCCCAACACCUGCCCCCAAUGCCCAACACCUGCCCCACACACCUGAGGUACCUCCUGGGCGUCCCACACCAGGACAGGCCUGGAGACUUCCAGCCACUGCCACCUGGCACACCCAGCACCUGCAGAUCCACCACCUUAAAACCCACCUCUACUGCCCCAUGUCACGGUCCCUGCGGGGCCAGGCCUGCCUGGCACGUCCACCCCGGGUCUCCCUGCCUCACCCUCUUGCGCAUCCACAGUGAACAGGGGCAUCUUUCCAAAAUGCAGAUCUGGCCGGGUGCGGCGGCUCAUGCCUGUAAUCCCAGCACUUUGGGAGGCCGAAGCAGGUGGAUCACAUGAAGUCAGAAGUUGGAGACUAGCCUGGCCAACAUGCCAGCCUCCAGCAUCGCCUCCUCUGGGAUCUUCUCUGACUUCCCAGUCGGUUUCAGAAGCCUCUGAUGACCCCAUGCGGAGAAGACUGCUCCCCUCACUGCUGGCACACGGCAGAUGCUCAGUAAGUAUCGUUCAAUGACUGACUAAAUGUCUCAUAAUAUCCUUCAUAAACAAGGGCCUGGUGUGGAUUCAUAAAUGGGUCUCUCAAAGUUUAAUUGGUGAGACUCUGUUGUAUCAGACAAUGAAGGGUUAAAAGAUAAUAUUCAAAAAAGUAAAAUCAUGACACACAAAUCUAGAAUGAACACACAUUGAUAAGGUUUGGAUCUGUGUCCUCACCCAAACCUCAUGUCGAACUGGGAUCCCCCGUGUCAGAGGCGGCCGCGUGGGAGGUGACCGGAUCGCGGGUGGACCCUUCAUGAAGGGUUCAGCACCAUCCCCUUGGUGCUGUCCUGGGACAGAGUUCUCUUGCGAUCUGGUUGUUUAAACGUGUGUGGCCCCUUCCCCCUCUCUUUUCCUCCUCCUCCUGCCGUGGGAGACACUUGCUCCAGCUUCGCCUUCCGCCGCGAGUUGAAGCUCCCCGAGGCCUCCUCAGAAGCAGAAGCCACCACGCUUCCUGUACAGCCUGUGGGACCCGGAGCCAGUUCAACCUCUUUUCUUUAUAAAUUACCCAGACUCGGCCGGGCACGGUGGCUCACGCCUGUAAUCCCAGCACUUUGUUGAGACCGAGGCAGGCAGAUCACGAGGUCAGGAGAUCGAGAACAUCCUGGCUAACACGGUGAAACCCCGUCUCUACUAAAAAUACAAAAAAUUAGCCGGGCGUGGUGGCGGGCGCCUGUGGUCCCAGCUACUCGGGAGGCUGAGGCAGGAGAAUGGUGUGAACCCGGG
rnacentral:lncRNA from 10 species